UACGGAGGGUGCGAGCGUUGUCCGGAAUCACUGGGCGUAAAGGGCGCGUAGGUGGCGGAGCAAGUCACGGUGAAAGCUCGACGCUCAACGUCGAGUCGGCCGUCGAGACUGCUUUGCUCGAGCACUGUAGAGGCAGAUGGAAUUCCGGGUGUAGCGGUGGAAUGCGUAGAGAUCCGGAAGAACACCGGUGGCGAAGGCGGUCUGCUGGGCAGUUGCUGACACUGAGAGACGAAAGCUAGGGGAGCAAAUGGG
rnacentral:rRNA from 1 species